AGGAAUGUUUGGAUAUGUAUAAAUUAAUUCUUUUAAGUCAAAAAAAAUCACGGCGAACCUUGACUAUGGCAAACAUACCAAACAUAAACUUAAUGUUGAUCUUGGCCUAGAAGUUCCAUUUCCAACCGUUAGAGCUACACAAAUCUAUCGAGGACUAACAAGUUCCAUAAACGUAAUCAUAACAUUCAUCCAUCAAUGUUUUUAUUUUAUUUUUAUGAAGCAUUCAUCCAUGAAUCUAUUAAAAGACUUACUUCAUAUUUUCUAUUGGAAAUUGCAAACAUAAAUUUGAAUGAACUUCAUUAUAAACUUAGUAUCCCCGAAUCAAGAGAGGAAGAGAGUAAGUGGGUGAUAUGCUGUAACAACAAUAUGUACGGUGCAAAAAGCAAAAUACUAGAAAUUUCACAAAAUAUGUAGUAAAAUAUUUUCUACAGGGUCACGUAUAUGAGGAUUAUUCUCAACAAUAAAAGGGUCAUCACACUUAUCACUAAUUGUAUGAAGUGUCUCACCUUCACCAACAACAUAUAUUUCAUCGCAUGGUUUGAUGGAGAAGAGGUGGUUAUUUUCCAUGAAGUUGUUAUGAACAUGAUUUGGAAUAAUAUUCAUAGAGGUGUCUCUAAAUAUUGUUACAAGUAUGAGGGCUAUAAGAACAAUAGCACAACACCAUGAAACUACAUCAGCUAUAUUUUUUGAGUUUAAGAAUAUUUGUCCUUUUUUGGAGUAAAAAGAAGGCAUGAUGAAUUGAUGAUGAAGAAGUGAUCAAAGAAAUAGAGAUAUUAAUAUGAGAAAAAAAGAGUGGUUUGGAAAGUUAUAAAGAAAAAAAAAAGAUGGGACAUGAUGUGUGUGUGAAGGUCAGUUUUGGCGGUUACUAAGGAAAGGGAGUUGUUUGUGAGGGGAGAAAAAUGGGGAAAGAUGGUGCUCACGUGAAUCAAAUCAAUCACUUGUUUUUUUACGGUAACUUUUGAUAUUGAUAUUUUGUUGGAUAUUUGUAAACCUAGUUUGUUCUGUAUGUAUCAGAUUGAACUUUGUUCCAUUUCGAGAUAUGCUGAAAUUAAAUAUUUCUUUGAUGGCUGUAUAAACUUAUUAUUAGCUCUUAGAAGUUUAUUUAAAAACUAGUUAAAUAUAAUUAGUUAUGUGACAUUAAAUGAGCAUACCCAACAAAAUACCAUAAUACCUAAAUAUUCACUUUUUUUAAUUAGAUCACUUUUUUCUUCUUCUUAUUUAUGUUGAAAAGCACUUUUUUUUUUAGGUUAAACUAACCUUCUUGCUUCUUGUUAUUUUAAUUUUCGGAGAAUUCGAAUCUAAAUUUUAUUUAAAAAAUUAUUGAUCAAAAUUUACUCAUUUUUUAAUUGAAUUCUGAAAUUUUAAGUUCCUAUCUUUUAGGAACAACAAAGUUAAGACUCAAAAAAUAAUUUGUAUAUGUAGUUUGAAUUCUUAUUAAAAUAAUUAUUAAUUAAAUUUUACUUAUUUUUAGUUGAAUUUUAAAUUAUCAAAAUCUCUUUUUAUAAGAAAAGCUAAUUAAUAAGAGUAUAAAGACUUGGUUUGUGAACGGGGGCUCUUGACUAACUUAUUGCGGUCUUAUUAUUUGAGUGCUUUGGAUUUGGCUCAACCAUCCAAAAAAUAAACAUGAAAAAUAAAAGAAAUACGAAAAUUGUCCGGAACUCGAAUGACAAAAUAUUAAAAUUGUUAUUCAAAUGACAAAAUAUUAAAAUUGUUAGGUUGAAUAUCAUAUUUUUUAUUUGAACUCGAAGCUUCACAAUUGUACGUGAGUUUCUUUAACAUUUGAUUUAUAAGACCAAAAAAGAAAAAAAAUAUGAAAUUUUUUUGCUGAGAAGUUCGAGUUGCAUGGGUAAUUAGUCACAAACUCGUGGGGAAAGUUUAUAAUUAAAUAAUGGGUGAAGAUUCAUUUUAGUAUUUAGAAAAAUUGUGAGAUUUAAUUUAGUCAUUUAAAAAAAUAAAAGUAAAUUUUAAUCUCUGAGAUAAUUAAAUCGGGACAACUUAAUCUCGACCUUUUUAAUAUUCUGCAUGGUUGAUGGAAAAAAGAUAAUGAAAAGAAAAGAAAAUCAAUAAAAAAAAUAAGUUGAUUAUUUAAUACUCUGGUAUAAGAAAAAAUAAAAUGAAAUUAUGAUAGAAAAAAUAUGUCUAUUUAUAAAAUGAUAGAAUGUCAUUAAGAAAAAAAAAUUAUUUAAGAUAAAUAAAAUAAUAAUAAUGAAAAUAAAUAUUUCAUAACAAUCAAUAAAAAUUAUAAAAUAUAAAAAUAAAGAGUAUAUUUAAAUAGAGUUUAAUUGUCAACACAUUACAAUCAUUCAUAGUGAUGAUUUUAGAGGUAAUUUAGAUAAAAUUCAAAUAUAUCUAUUGAUAUAACAGUUGUAAUUGACUAACAAUGUUAACAUACUUUAUACCGAUAAUGUACGUAAAUUAAAUCUAAAUAUAUAAAAUUAAUUUAGUAACCGUCGUAGAAAAUGUUUGAAUUUAAUAAUCUACAAUUAUUAUAUUUUAUUCUCUUUAUAUUUUUUAGAUUUUCAUUAGUUUUUAUUUUAAUGAUGUUUAAUUUUUGCUUAAGGAAAUUGUUGUCAUUUUAAAAAUACACAUAUUUCUUAUUAUUUUUUCUAGAAUUUAAUUUAUUUGCACUGACAUCAUUCUUUAAGAAUUCAUAUUUUUGACACGUCAACUUAAUACAUUUAAAAUGAAUUAAAAUUAAAAAUCCUAAAUAUAGUCCGAACAUGUUAACUAACGGAAUAAUAUUUUAUUUUAUUUUUCUCUUUAUAUUUCAAAUUAUUUCACGAAAUCUAAGAAAAAAUAAAAAGAAAUAUGAAUUAAAAUUAAAAAUACUAAAAGUAGUCCUAACAUGUUAACUAACCGAAAAAUAUUUUAUUGUUGUUUUUUAUAUUUUUCUGUUUAUAUUUUAAAUAUUGUCAAUGUAAAUAAAUUAAAAUCUAUGAGAAAAUAAAAUAAAAUAAAAUAUGUAUACUAUAUAAUAACAUAAAUGUCUUUAAAUAAAAAUUAGAUAUUAUUAAAAGAAAAAGUAACAAAAAAUAUAAAAUAUAAAGAGGAUAAAUAUAAUAUUUGUUGUUUAUUAAAUUAAAAUAUUUUCUUUUGUAAUUUCAAAAUUAAUUUUAUAUAUUUAUUCUUAUCCACGCACCAUGUCAUUUUGAUUGUUAGUAAAAUUUAACAUAUCAUUAAAUGUUAAAUCAUCUUGAUUAAGAUUCACAGGGUUGAUACCUCUUGUAGAGAAAAAUAGAUAGUUCAUAUAUCUGGAUAUAAGGAUUACUAGAAGAUAAAGGUGGAGCAACUAAUGAUUGUGGUUUAAAAUACUGAUGUAAAGAUGGUUGAUUCAAACCAGACUGAUUAUUUCCAUACAAAGAUGUUGACAUAUAUGAUCGAUAAUAAUCUCUGUGUUGAUAUUGAGAAGAUGUCGAUAAACGAGUAUGUCGUGGAGGCAUCUGAAGUUGUUAAUUAUAUUGUGGUAGUGACAUAUGCCCUUGUUGAUAAUUAUAUUAAGAUGAAUUGGAAGAUCGAUUUUUUCAUUUGUUGAGAAUUAUAGAGUUUCUCCCUUAUUCGUCUCUUAAACUCAUGUCGUUAUCUAUCCCCUCUUAAUGUUGAAGAACACAAAUUUUUUAAAAAUUGACUCACUUCGACAAAUAAAUUUAAUAAAUAUUUAGGCAUAUAACUAAAUGCAAUGAAAAGUAAACAUUUAAUAAAUAUGUGGUAAUCGAUACUUUUCAUUUCAUUCAUCCUUCCAUUUCCACAUUAGUACUUCUUGCCAAAUUAGAAUAAUAACCAUUCGACAUCUUGAGUUCUUUUAUCCACCUACAGACAACUUUUUCUUCAUCUAGAGUUAAAGUACAAUUUGCUUUUAGUUUUAAGGUUUUACCGUUAGAUCGUUCCACUAACAACAAAUCAUUUCGCUUGUAAUAAAAAGCUAAGUCUUUUUGAGCUUUGUUUUUUUCCUUAGUUUUUCCUUUUACAUUCAUCACAAUGUUAAAUAUAUUGUCAAAAACAUUUUUCUGAAUAUAUGUAACAUGAAUAUUAUGUCUCAGAAGGAUAUCUUUCCAACAAGGAAUAAGGAAGAUCUCAAAAAAUACAUUGUUUUGUCUAAUUAAGCAAUUGACCAUAACCAUGAUGUUUCGAAACAACUCCAGCUAUAACUUCAACCUUCGAUAUACCUUUAACUUGAUCCUAAACUUGUUUAUAUGUUAAUCGAAUGGGAGGUCCACGACUUUCAACAACACCCUUAACAAAUGCAUUUUUAUUUCUCCUAAAUAGACUAUCGUAAAGGUAAAAACCGCCGAUGAGAGUCAAACCAAGAUUGCAUUCCCACCAAAUUUCAAUAUAAAUGAUUUAUUAUUUUCUAUACAAAUAGGACAUGCUAAUUUAUCGUGUGCUCCUCAUCUAGACAACAUCGUGUAGGUUGAGAAAUCAUUAAUGAUCUACAUCAAAGCUGCUCUCAUAAUAAAAUUUUAUUUUCGAACAAUAUCAUAUGUUAAAACAUCAUGCCACAAUCUAUUUAAAUCAUCAAUCAUUGAUUGUAAAUAGAUAUCAUUACUAGAUGUGGGAUUUGAUGGUCCUAAUAUUAUUGCGGUUAGGAACAUAUCUAACGGAUGAUUGUAAGGAGUGACAAUAACUUACCAACAAGAAUAAGGUAUAGAUGAAGCUUGAAUAUAAGGGGUGAAAACAUCAGAGGAUAAUCCUAAUCGUACAUUAUGCGGAUUUAUAACAAAAUCAGGAUAUAUUUGAUCAAAGUGCUUCCAUACUAGACCAUUUAACGGACGUCACAUUUUAUCAUUUGAACUUCUUUUAUUUUCACAAUAUUAUGUCAUUUUUUCAGCACUUUGUAUAGAUGCAAACAUUCUCUACUAUCUUGAUACGAUAGACAAAUAAAACAUUGUUUUUAUUAGAAUCAUUUUUUCUGUUCUUGUCAUGUUUUUCAACAAAAUUUACAUUCAAGUAGGUCAAUCUCUUUUAUACCAAAUUUGUUGUUGUAAAACAACAUACAUCCAUUAACACAACAAUUUAUUCCCUUCAUAUCUUAUUCCAACUUUAACACUAACUUUUUAGUAUCAUAAUAGUUUGUUGGCAAAAUCUCAUUUCAAAUUGGUGUUGCAUCUAACAUCAACUUGGUCAUAAAAUCUAAGCACAAGUCUAGAGUUUGAAAUUGAGACUUUAGCCCUAAAAUUGUAACACAUGAAUAACUUGGAGUUAGGAGACCCAUCUAUCGCGGCCUAAAAUUUCGAGUGUUUCUCGAAUUCAAUGGAGUUGCCACCAAAAUAUAUUUUAAAAUAGAAAAAAUAUUGGGAAACUCUUAAAAAUAAAAAAAUAAAUAAAAAAUGGUAUUUGAAAAAACCAAAUUUUGCACAAAAUUAACACCCUACGACAUCCGUUAAAAUAUGGUUAUCUAUAAUUAAUUAUGUUACAUUAAUAUUAAUUUAAGUAUAUUUAUUUCUCCUUAUUAUUAAAUAUGAAUAACAUUUAUUAUUUUUUUUUAAUAUGAUUUUAGAAUGUACAUAAGAAAUAAAGGGAAAAAAAUUUAUUAAUGUGCUUGACAAGAAUGUGAUCUUGCUCCUACGUAUCUCCCGGUGCGAUGGAGAAAUCAAAGCUACAUAGUUUUUGGUUAGAAAAUGCAGAUGCUUUGAUUGUUUUUUUUUUUUAAGAAAAUUUGUUUUGUUAUAAAAAAAUAUAUAUUUUGAUGAGAAAAGAAAAUGAGUUUGUUUGACUUGAAAAAUUAUUUUGAAAUGCGAGUUUUAGGACUAUCUAGCUAUUUUUAAAUUGGAUAAUUUGACAUAAGUCCAUCAUUAUACAAAUGAUCCUUUAUUACAUUUUCUUUUUUAGUAUUUGAACAAUAAUAUUUCUUACGUGGACAUCCAAUACCACCAUUAUCUUGAAAUAUCUAUAAGUGUCUUACGAUUUUUAAAAAUUCAUCAACCCCAAUUCUAAAUUAUUAUUUGAUACCCGUUCUUUUAAAAUAGUUUCUAUCAUAAAGUCAACUAUGAUUAUUUUUUAAUAAUAUAUAUAAAAUAAAAACUAAUUAUCACACAUUCAUAUUAGUGAGCAUAACUAAAAAAAAAGUGUUUAUUUACUUAAUAACAUAUAUUAAACCUUAAAUGGGAAACUAAAAGUUAACUCACAAUAAUUGAUUAUAAUUUUUUAAAAUUUUAUUUUUGUCUAUUUAACAUAUUAUCCCGUUAAAAUAAAACACUAUUAACCGUAACAAUAUUAAAUAUUGUUAUAAUUAAUUGAUUGUCUAAAAAUUGUAAUAUAUUAGUAUUGUUAAAAAUUAACAUAUUCAUUCAAAAGAAUUCACAUUAAUAUAUAUUUAUAAAAUGCAAAUAUAUUAAGUUAAGUUAUAAAAUAAAAUAGAAAUAUUUUUAAAUAUUCAAAUUAGCAUAUUUUCAAAGAAAUACACAAUAAAUAUACUAACAUAUUUUCAAAUUUAAAGAAAUUGAACAAUAAAUAAAACAAAUAUUAUAUGUUCAUAAAAAUACACAUAUAAUAUUUUUGUGUUGCAUCCCCUAGUAUUGUGAUCCUCGCAAAAUAAAAUAAAAUAAAAAUCAAUAUUUUUUUUAAGACGUUGAUCUUAGCAAAAUAAUUUUACUAAUUUAUUAGAAUUGUUGAUCCUUGAAAAUUUCCGGGUCUUUCGUGAGGGCUAAAUGAUCUUUGCAAAUUUUCUAAGAUUAAAAUGUUCUAAGAAUGGCCUUAAAUUUCACUUAAUUCUUGUAGUGUUUUUUAUCUUAUAAUUUUUUAUUAAUUGUAAUGAAAUAUUUCUUUUUAUUCUCUCUCCCCCAUAUGCCAAACAUAAACUUUAUAUGAGGAAUGUUUUUGGAACAUCAAAACUUUACAUUGAACUAUACAAUAUAGACUUUUUUAUUUAUAUUUUCUCUCUAGUCAAAAUUUAACUAUAAACAAUGUAAUUGUAUUUUAUAUUGUGUCUGAUUUGUCAUUUGUGUGUCCAAAUAAUACAUAUCAAACUUAAUUAAUUGAUAUUUGUAUCCCGAGUUAAAUGAAAAAGAAGAAAAAUAAAACUUCCUCUCAAUUUUAUUUGUGAUUCAUUGAUAAGUUAAUUUAUAAAGAUAUCCUUGACGACUAUAAGGAUUACCUUAAUUAGUUUAUGUCACUUCUAUACUUUUUACUUUCAACCAUAUAUGUAACAAAUAAACUAAUAACUUAAUUGUAUAAAAAAACAAAAUCAAGUUAUUAAUAGAAAAAUCUUUGGUUGUAUUAUAAUUUUGACCCUAUAAUUUCUCAAAAACUUCCCAAUUUUUUGAUGAUGUGCAUCAUAUGAUGAACUUUUUAAUGAUUUGGCUUGAUAUGAUAGAAAUUAUUUUAAUAACUUUUUUACAAAAAAAAAAUCAUUUUAAUUAAAUAAAACCAAACAAAAUUAUAUUUAUUUAAUUAAAAAAACUAAAAUUAGAAUCUUUAAUUUCAAUUUUGGUCUAUUUUCCCUUUGUUAUGAGAUUUCUACUAGAUCUUCAACUAUUGAGUUAACAAAAGAUGACAUUGAAGUUCCAUUAAAAAGAGAUUCAAAUAAAUUGCGAGAAAAUUUUAAUGUAGGUACUCCAAAACUGAUAUAAAGUAGAAUGAUUCAAGAAAAUCUCGAGAGAACUCAAAUUUCGACGACGAUAAAACAAUGUAUGACUAUAAUACAAUGUAGAAGAAAAAGAUAAUCACAUAAAAGAUAUAAUAUUUAUUUUAUUUUUAAUUAAAAAAAAUUCAUGAUAUCAUGUAAGGAUUAUUAAAAAGUUCACAUGUCAUAUGUCAUGCCACAUCACCAACAAAAUUGAGAAAAAGGAGUGGGAGACUGUAAAAUCAAUAAAUAAGUAAAUGUGAUGGUCAAAAUUGUUCCUUAAACCAAAAAUCUGACCUGCACGUUUAGCUAUGAGUCUAUGUAAGAAUCUUUCCUUGAUAGAGAAAGCUUUGCAAGCUUGUACUUCUCCAUUCUUUACAUCAACCACAUGCACUAUAUUUACCAAGAGUAUCUUCAAUAUAGGUUCAUUAAAUGGGAUCUACUCUAUCAUAUCAUCUUGAAGCAACUCAUUUCUUUUUUGCUCCAACGGUUGAACUCAACAUGAUCCAUUUAAAUAGGUUUUACUAUGCCACAUCACUCUAAAUCAACUCAUUUCUCUUUUACUGUUUAACUUUUAAAAAACCAUAUUAUAUCUCAUAACUUUAAUUUAUACAUUAAUAUUUUAUUUAUAUUCAAUUUUACUAUAACUUAAAAUAUUAAUUUAAAUAUUUCAAUUAAUAUUAUUAUACAUUAUUUUAAUUUAAAAUUAAAAUAAAAAAAUUAAUUUAAAAUAAAAAAUUAAUUUAAAAAGAAGUUAACAACUAUAUAUUAUUUUUAUUAUACAUUAUUUUUAUUAUUAUUAAUAAAUUAAAAAAAAGUUAACGGCUAUAAAUUAAUAAAAAAAGACAAAUUUAUUAUUAUUAAUAAAUUAAUAAAAUAUAGCGGUUAUAAUGUUCUAAGGUUAUGGUCAUCAUCUACUAUAGUUCCAUUUCCAAAUUCCAACCGUUAGAGCUACACAAAUCUCUCAAGGACAUGUAGCUACUCAAACUAACAAGUUCCAUAAACGUAAUCAAAACAUUGAUCCAUCAAUCUUCUUUUUUUAUGAAGCAUUCAUCCAUGAACCUAUUAAAAGACUUACUUCAUAUUUUCUAUUGGAAAUUGCAAACUUUAAUUUGAAUGAAAUUCUUUACAAACUUAGAGCAUCUUCCAAAAUGAGUUUGUCCGCCAGGUGUAGUUACGUAACCUUUCGUUCUCUCAUGAAAGAACGGUACUUUGAUUACAGUUACCUUUUUUUUUAAUUCAUUUGAACCCUAUUUAAUGAACAUGUGAGUUCACAAGUGGAUUGAUUAGAGACACAUAAGGAGUAAUAUGGAUAUAAAAAAAAUUAUAAAAACUUAGUUUGUAAAAGGAACCCUCUUGUUAUUUAUAGAUCAAACUAAAUUUCAAGGUAAAUUGAUGCAACAAUGUAUUUUGUAAUCAAACCUAAUUGAUCAAACAAAAUGUUAAUAUUUGUAUUUCAUUUAUGAAGGGAAAUUUAAGAGCUCUUAAUUGCGAUCACCCAAAGAAUACUUUUUUCAUCUUAGAUCUAUUGCCAUUUAUUUUAUUUUUAUAAUAAAUAAUUAAUUGUUAAUUUAAUAAAUAAAAAAUUAUUUAAUAUCUAUUCAAUGUUAAUGUAUUACUUUGAAUUUUUAUUUUAUUUUAUUAAUAUAAUUUGAUUUUUUUAAUUAUUUUUAUUUAUUAAAUUAACCAUUAAUCAUUUGUUAUAAAAAUGAUAAAUGAAAAUAGAUGAUAUAGUAGAGAAUUUUGAAUGAAAAGAGCAUAUAAAAGUAAAAUAUCCCUAAUUAAAAACCAAACAUUUAUUAAAACAUAGAAGGAAAUAACUUCCAUUCACAAGAUUUAUGGGGAAAAAACCACACACACAUAUUAACUAUUACAAGAAUCAAGAGAGGAAGAGAGUAAGAGGGUGAUAUGCUCUAACAACAAUAUGUACGGUGCAAAAAGCAAAUUACUAGAAAUUUCUCAACAUGUAAAAUAUUUUCCUAGCAAUGAUGUGAAGGUGUAAUCUUGAUAACAAGGCCAGGGAAGACAUCAUCAGGGUCAUGUAUAUGAGGAUUAUUCUCAACAAUAAAAGGGUCAUCACACUUAUCACUAAUUGUAUGAAGUGUCUCACCUUCACCAACAACAUAUAUUUCAUCGCAUGGUUUGAUGGAGAAGAGGUGGUUAUUUUCC
rnacentral:lncRNA from 1 species